GAUCACUGUGGCAAACCAUUUGUACAGUAUGCAAAGCUAAAAGCCCAUGAAGUUACCCACACCGGUGUGAAACCGUACCAUUGUGACCAAUGUGGGAAAGCCUUCAGCAACAUUUCCUCCCUAAACACUCACCUACGUGUCCACACUGGGGAGACACCAUACAGAUGUGACGAGUGUAGGAUGACUUUUACAACUUCAGCUUCCCUGAAAGAACACCAACGGAUCCACACCAGAAAGUGGCGCCACAGCGAGAGCGGCACAGAUGGACAAACCUCUCACACUUGUCAGCCUCUGCCAACAGUGAACAGUACUGUUGUGACUAGUGUGGAUGACCUUUCUACCAACAAGGAACCCUCCGGAGACACCAUCGUAUGCACACUAGAUACAAACUGAACCCCUGCGAAGAACAAUCCCCAAGCUGAGUUCAGUUGAAGUUCAUGAAGACACUCACAAACUUAAAAUUCUUGAGAGGUUAAAUCUGGACUAGAUUUCACCAGAAGACAUGUAGAGACUCUGAAGUCACCUGGUAGAAGGUUCUUUGGUUUGGUGUCCUCAUACCAUGAUUCACUGCUGCCGCUAGCAGGCUAAAAAGCCUGGUUUGAGCAUGAUCACCGUGCGGUUUAGUUUACUUAGGUUUAUUUAGUUUGACAAAAUUGUAGCUCAGGUGCUGUUCAAUGUUGUCGUGUUUGAUUGCUUUCUCAUACACUGUGUGGACGAAGGUGUUUGAACACACCAUCAUUAAAUUUGAGUCAUUUAUUUAAA